GAAACUAAUCCAGUAUUUUCUAAUGAUAUUACCAAGGGGCAACAUGUAUAUUGAAAAUAUCAGAGGACCUAGGACAGAUCCUUGUGGCACUCCAUAUUUUACUGGUGAUAAAUGAGAUGACUCCCCAUUUAAAUAAACAAGGAUGAUAGGGGUGUUUCAGCGCCGCCCACACAUUCAAAACAAAUAUUAAAUCAUAAUCUCAUUUUUUAAGUAAAACGAAAAAAUAAAAGAAAAAAAACAUUCCUCAUUUCUCUUUAAUUCUUUUUAAGUAGAAAAUCAACUGACCAAAAGAUACACGGAACCUCUAAUCUGUUCAGUAUUUAAUUCUGCAUUUGAACUACUGCAGACAUAAUUCAUAAUUUGUUUUUCUGUUUUAUUUGUUUUUCUAGCUUGUUUUGGAUGAGAAAUUCACACCAGGCUGUCCAACAGUGCUUUUCAAAUCUGAUGAUGAGCGAGCAGUGUUUCCCAGAAUGCACCUUGAUCCAGUAAAUUUCAAAUAUAUCUACACUGCUCUGAAGAAACAGGUUAGAAGAGUGUCUGUGGUUUCGUGUGCUAAAUACAUCACUCUGAAAGACUGCAGAGCUGCUCUGAUCCUCUCUGUUGCUGGUGCGUGAACAUACAGAGGUCAGCCUGCCUUUAUUAUGUGUGAUUCAUUUUUCACACAUGAGAUCUGCUCUAGGCUGCAUCUGCACUAAAUAUGCCUAACUAUAGAACAGCAUGUUAACUUAUAUCAUCUGCAGUACAUAGACAAGAUGAGCAGUGUGCAAACAGUUCUGAAGUGAUAUACUGACUGAUCCUGUUUUUAUCUAGAUGUUCUACUCAAGAUGAAUGUUCAGAUACUUCAUGGGUGUCCAUCCCAAAAAACUCUCUUCAGACACGGCUGUUUUCUUUUCAGAUAGCAGAGAAUUCUUUUAGAAAGGUACUGUAGACAUCAAUAUCAAGUAUUUUCAUAAUUAUCAUUUAGAAAAUGUUUACUACUACUCUACUCUUUACCAGCCAUUGCCUCUCCAACACAGGUUACUCUACAUCUUUCAUUGAGUCUGAAGAGCACAGGAAAUCCUGCCUUCUCAUGUACCUUCACUAAAGGAAGUGUAAACUUGUGUGACGUGUCUGAUCCACCUGCAGUUCUCCCAAACUGCUCCUGUAGUUUUCCUGAUCAGAUUCUAUACACAAAAGGUUGGUUCUCCUUUAAAGAAGUCAUAUAUGUGCUAUUAUACAAUUAAUUUAUGU
ensembl:lncRNA